CCAGGGAAGCAUUGUAGUACUUUACAAGCCUUAAGGUCUCAGGCUCACAGCAGCCCUUUAGGUCAGGAGGCACAAGACCCUACUGGCAGGUCUUUUGAGAGCUCGCCUUCUCCAAAGGGACUCAUUAAAGAUUUUUCUCUGAAGAUCACAUUUCUCUGCCAGAAGGAAAUUCUAACAAAUGCAGUUUUUUUCUUCCUCGUGCUAGAGAGGAAAAGGUGCAGGUAGAGGGAAAUAGGCUUCUUUUCUCACAGUUACAAAAACUAUUAAAACCCUGUUUUCUUCUGAAGGUGCUACCUUCCCGGCCCAGAUGACCUGAAGUCUGUGGGAGAAGCAUCCCAGAGCUAGAUCAAGCCUCCUAAAUGGGGGGACAGUCCCGCUGCUGUCCCCAACAUCCGCAGUUCUGGGAAGAUGCAACACUCCAGACCCUGAGCGCUGGGCCCUGAAAUCGGGCAAGACACUGUUCAUGGCUGAUUGUUUUACACGUGGUAAGAAAGGGCCCCCGUGUGAAACUAGACUGAAAUCUCUUUUGCUUCAAGUUCUGUACUGUUCCUCACUUCCUCUUCUUUACCGGAAUGACUCUCUUUAAACUCACCGAUAAGCCCUUGGCUCCACUAUGUCUUCGCAUUCUUUGCUCUGUUUGGUCCUUUGUGUGUCCCCCCCACAGCUCCCCCACAUGAAAUCAACUAAGUCGGAACCUGCGAACAGUCCGGCUGUCAGGCUGGUCCACCGAUGAUGCUUUGUUAGACUUUUACAGUGUAUUUUUAAACGGUGUCUUUGUUACACACAGGAUAUCAGGAGAUUCUACGUAAUUAGCCUCUCUUUAGAAUUCUCUCAAAAUAUCAGGACGCCUGGCAAGCCAGCGCAUUUUCCCUCAGGGCAGCGAGUAGCUGAAGCUGCCUCUUUCGUCUUAGGACUGGUCAGAUUCGCUGAUUUAUUUCCUCCCUGAAGCCCCGGGAUGGGACCACGAUGCAGAGGAGUGACCAGAGGACCUCGGACAGUAAGUUGCUGCACCAUCUGGAGGAGGGGACAGAGGUCGCUUCGCAUCUGGACACCAAGGGACCUUGCGGCUGGCGUUGGGGACGGGAAACCCCAAGCCGUGAUCUGUGUGGAUGGACGGGGGACCAAGCAGGCAGCACUGGAUGCCAAAGAGUGAACACGUGGUGGCCAAGAUCGGAAGCCCCCAGAGCCUCAGCGUCACCAGGGAAUGGAAUGAGGACAGGAGCACAUUGGGUCGUGGUAUCCAAAGCGUUCAAAGUUGUUUCUGAAGAGGAGCCCAGGCCAUUGCUACCAAGGAGAAACCCAAGCUGCAAAACAGAGAGGAGGAAACACAAGAUAUUACCUGUGACGCGGUAAGAGGGAACACUUUCUUCGGGCACAGAAAUCCCUCCGCUUUUGCUCGAGAAGCAAAUACAGACUCUAAGCUGGCUGCAAAGGCUGCCGGGCUGAGCUGAGCUCCGACGUCCUCCGCCCCCACUCCCCCUUUCCGCCCAUGGGCGCUGCUUCAGCCCCGCGUGCAGCAAGCCCACUUUGGGGCUUUGCCCUUGCCUGGCAUGCUGUGACCUGUGCCUGGGUGGCAGGUGUUCACGGUUGAGGCCUCAGCUUUAAUGUCACCGCCUCGGAAAAGCCUCCUCUGACUGCGCCAUGCUAUAGGCUCUGGGCUUUGGCCUGACCUGCAGUUUAAGCACGAUGCGAAAUCAUCACAUCUGUUUGCCGACUCGUUUACUGUUUUCUGCCCUAGAAAGUUUCAUUAGAGCAGGGUUCCAACCUCCAUUCUGCACUGUAUUCCCAGCACAGGGCACACAGUCGGUCCUCAAUAACUGCGUGUUGGAUGGAUGAAGAAAUAAAUAAAAGAGAGGCUUGUCUACA
rnacentral:lncRNA from 1 species